rnacentral:rRNA from 1 species
CAGUAGCCACGGUAAUACGAAGGGUGCAAGCGUUAAUCGGAAUUACUGGGCGUAAAGCGUGCGUAUGCGGUGAGUUAAGUCUGCUGUGAAAUCCCCGGGCUCAACCUGGGAAUGGCAGUGGAUACUGGCUCGCUAGAGUGUGUCAGAGGAUGGUGGAAUUCCCGGUGUAGCAGUGAAAUGCGUAGAUAUGUGGAGGAAUACCGAUGGCGAAGACAGCCCCCUGGGAUAACACUGACGCUCAUGCACGAAAGCGUGGGGAGCAAACAGGAUCAGAUACCCGCGUAGUCCCUGUCUCUUAUAC